UACGGAGGGGGCUAGCGUUGUUCGGAAUCACUGGGCGUAAAGGGCGCGUAGGCGGCCGAUCAAGUCGGGGGUGAAAGCCUGUGGCUCAACCACAGAAUUGCCUUCGAUACUGUUUGUCUUGAGACCGGAAGAGGUUAGUGGAACUGCGAGUGUAGAGGUGAAAUUCGUAGAUAUUCGCAAGAACACCAGUGGCGAAGGCGGCUGACUGGUCCGGUUCUGACGCUGAGGCGCGAAAGCGUGGGGAGCAAACAGG
rnacentral:rRNA from 1 species